UGCUGUGCUGUAGAGGAGAGAUAAUGGCCUCUGGCUCCUCAAUCUCUCCUCUGUAAUGUGUUUCUGACGCCGACUCGCGCCUGCAGCCCCCCGGGAGGCACAGGGACGACAUCAUGAUGGAGUGUCAGGCAUGGUGAAAUGGUCACUGCUCAAAAAAAAGGCAUAAGGCUUCUCUGUUCCACAAGCCUGGGUUUCGAUUGAAAGGGCAAGAGAAUUCCACCCUAGCUGCCAUUCUCCAGAUGCUGUCUCCAUGGUUACCCUAUGCUGGGAACCUGACCUCUGAUCUUUCGGAGGGCUGCCGAGUGACCCCUGCUGUUUGUACAGAAAGUCCUGCUGGCGACAAGAGACUGGAAAAGACAUCUGGCAACUGCUCUAUGCGUGCUUGUGUGUCUGCUUGCAUGGGUGUUUGCAUUGCAUGUGGAUUAGUUACUAUCAUUAAAACGCAACGUGAGUUAA